GUAGGGGGCAAACGUUACUCGGAAUUACUGGGCGUAAAGGGCGCGUAGGCGGCCUUGUAAGUCUCGUGUGAAAGCCCUCGGCUUAACUGAGGAUCUGCACGGGAUACUGCGAGGCUUGAGUUCGGGAGAGGAAAGCGGAAUUCUGGGUGUAGCGGUGAAAUGCGUAGAUAUCCGGAGGAACACCAGUGGCGAAGGCGGCUUUCUGGACCGACACUGACGCUGAGGCGCGAAAGCUAGGGGAGCAAACGGGAUUAGAUACCCCGGUAGUCCUAGCUGUAAACGAUGAUCGCUGGGUGUGGGGGGUUUUUACUCCCUCCGUGCCGAAGCUAACGCAUUAAGCGAUCCGCCUGGGGAGUACGGUCGCAAGGCUG
rnacentral:rRNA from 1 species